AUCACUUAAUCAGAGGAGAGUGAGGCGAUCUGGCUGGGCUGCUCUUCUUCGGGGACGUCGCCGUUUACUUGCCCGCGCCAACGGCCAGCUACUCGCCGGGAUUCGCCGUGUGCCCAUGUACAGCCGCCUUCCAGAAGCCAUCCGAGGGGCGGCCCGCAACGCUCGCGCGGAGGUCCCGACUUAGGAGGUGGACGAGGCUGUGUGGCUCGCGGCUGAGCUGCUCUUAGCCUGGGUCGCCAUCGUCUCCGUGCGCCACGCUGACAGGAAGCUGGUCGCCGAGUUCCCGGGCAUUCGCCGCGCACCCAGGUACUCCGACGCCUCCCCAGUAGCUGUCCGAGCGGCGGACCGCGACGCUCGCGCGAGUGUCCAAUGGCUCCGGUGGUCUGAUGAGCGUGGCUGCCGGCCAUGGCCGUGGUCGUGUGCCACUGCCUCUCCCGCUGCCGCUGGAAUGACGGAGGCUCGCGGCCAAGAUCCGGGGAGAAGGAGCUCCGUGACGGCGAGCUCCUCUAGGAGCAGGGCGACCACGUACUCCAAGAGCACGACGAUGACGACAAGCUUGAGGCUCCUUCGGGCAACCUUAACAAGGAGGAGGGUGGCAGCUGGAUGAGGGUUAAAAUCACGCCGGAGUCACCGUGUUGUCCUCUGACGACACAGCCGGCGCCCCAUGAUCUUCAGCACGGUGGCGGCGCGGCGGCUGGACCUCCCUGCCAGCCUGCCCGGCCAAACUCCACAAGCUGCAGCUCACGGAUCCAAUCCAAGAAACGUCCUGCCAGCUAGUGCCAUGGUUCCCCCACGGAAGGGGCAGGGAGUUCUAGCGAAGCUUUAUACAAGGAGCUAUGGCAUGCUUGGGCUAGGCCGUUGAUCACAGUGCCUCACCAAGCAGCACAGACCAAAAGGGAGUGAGAAGCAACCCUUAUUCAUCCCCCUUCAUGCCAUUCAAAGGGAACCAUAUCGAUCAGCAAAGGGCCAAUUAGUCAGCACUGAAACAGAAUAAAUAUUCACCAGGCAAUAAAACGCGGAAUUAUCAGUUAUGAUGGUGGGUUUUGUAGCUUCACUAAACAGGGCAUUGUGUUGUUAUGACACUGACCUUAUCUUUACAAUAGAACAUGUUCUAAAAAAAUAGUUCAAUCUUCAUGUAACUUCAUAAUUGUGUAUGAUCUAUUAAAUUUUGCUAAUUAAACGUGAUAUUCACUAUUUAAUUGUGUAUGAAAAGCAGUUGAUUUCUAACCUUUUUGGGUGUAAAAAAUCAGUUCAUGUGAAUGGCCAGAUAAACCUGUAGCAAAGACGGUCGGGGACUCAGGUAUUAAGCAAGAUGUUCUGCAGUACGUAGUAAUUAUUCAGUUACCAUUUCUGUGAAUGCAUAGAAGAUAUGUUGCAGGUCAAACACGAAACAAAGCAUGAUCAACCAAGGUCAAAACUAGCAUCUUCCAUGAAAUGAAUUAAUCCAUAUCUGCAGUCAAAUACAACUGCCAGUCAGUUAAGAAAAGCUACAGUCCAUUCAAGCUGAAAAAUAAUAAAAUUCGUAAACCCCACUUCUUUGAGCUUGAGAACUCUA